UACAGAGGGGGCGAGCGUUAUUCGGAAUUAUUGGGCGUAAAGGGCGCGUAGGCGGCCUUUCAAGUGACGGGUGAAAUCCCUCGGCUUAACCGAGGAACUGCCUGUCAGACUGGAAGGCUUGAGACCGGGAGAGGUGAGUGGAAUUCCCAGUGUAGCGGUGAAAUGCGUAGAUAUUGGGAGGAACACCAGUGGCGAAGGCGGCUCACUGGACCGGUUCUGACACUGAGGAGCGAAAGCGUGGGGAGCGAUCCGG
rnacentral:rRNA from 1 species